ensembl:lncRNA
UGUUGGGACAUGCCUUGACUUGUACUGCCGGAUUGAAGCAGAAAGAGUAGACUUUUAAAGAGGGAGGAGAGGCAGAAGAGGCCAUUGGUCAAGAGUUGGAGAAGAACAGUGGGAAGUGGCCAACUGGACGCUACAAGCUGCAGUCAAUGCCAGCACCAGUGGGCACUCAGAUGGAUGAAAGAGCGUCUAUCUAUGGCUGGAAAGCAUGACUGUCUGGGUGUUGUAGCUGACACCGGAGCAGCGGGGACAUGCAGAGGAGAAGGAGCGGGCUGCAGAGUGGAGAGCUGUGGGCUGAUGGUGAGGCUGACAGGAUCCAGAUCAAACUGUGUAGGUGGUGUUGGGGUUGGAGAGGACACGCAGUUUAUGCAAAGGUGCGGGUGCAGAACUCCAACCAUGAGAAUUUUAUAGUCACCACAACAAAACCAGUGGCUGAAACUUGUGAACGUCAGAAUUACUGAAGAGAGCAUGAGGCCAGCAAACAGCGUGGCAUCCCACAGCAGAAAGGAAGUGGAGACGGAGGAGGGCUGUUUGGAUGCGGCUGCUGUGGGUGUUUCUCUGGCAGUGUCUUAGCUGGUUGUUGUGAGGAGUGAGAACGAAGCAAUCAGCAAGUAUACUGCCGCAGAAAUUCUUCGCAAUAAGAGGCCUUUGAGAUCAGCUGGACACUGAGGAAACCAGCAGGAUGGUUUAACAUUGGUCUGGAACUCAUGCAAAGAGAUUGACUUCAAGCAUGGCAUUUUUAUAACAUCUACAAUAUUUUCACUUGGAUCACAGCGUCAAGCUUCUUCAGCAUGUUUUAUGAUCCUCUGCUGCCAUCUUGUGACUGGCCUCCCAGCAUGCCCCUGAAAAUCAAUACUGCAUUUUUUAUGGAUGAACUGAAAAAAGAUCAUUCAUAAGUAUGGCUUGAAAUUGCUUGUUUUAAGUUGCAAAUGCAUGAGCACUUUGAUAGGAGUUGCAGCAUAUUAAGUAUUAUGGGAAAUGCGUUUGGAUAAAAAAUAAAAAUUAAA